rnacentral:misc_RNA from 1 species
CGUACGCGAACUCUUCUUCCGUUCUCGCACCACAAACAAAUGCACUAAUCUCCGUUUUGGUUUUGUGUUCGUACUCCGCAGAUCAAUAAGAGUGAACAUACAUCACCACCAACAGUCACACACACACACACACACACACACAAACAUACGCACAACGACCUGGCGCCUGAUUCGAUUUGUCUCCUCUCAUAGUUGCGGGCCUCCCUCUUUUCCGUUUCCGUUUCUCCUCACCCCUUUCUUUUUCUCCAGUCGAGCGUUCUUCACGCCUCCCCUGCCCCACUCUCUUCAACACUGCCGCAGGGGGACCAACGAAGAAAAAAAAGGCAAAGGUGGGAGCGUUCAGCGACAUUGAUGACGCGCACGACUGCAGCUUAGCCGGCACGUUCUUCCAAGUUCCUGUUUUUCCGCGUGUGUGCUGCUCAGGGGCACAUCCGUACUCAUUUCGUAACUGCGACAACCACCACAGCCACAAGAGAGUCGACCGCGCACAUUAAGGGCUCUGCUCCACUAUUCCGCCUUUUACACACCGCCUCUCUCGGUGUGUAUUUUGCCUUGUUUCUCCACGUCGUCUUCGCCCCCUCCUGCCCCCUCCUGCCCCUGCUUGACCCCCCUCCUCCUCCCCCUCUCCCCGAGAAAAAAAAGGCGAAGAAAACAAAGGGAAGGUGCAGCUGGUCUGCAAACGUGGUGGGCCGACGCCCCUUGUCCAGCGCGGCCCGUCUGUCUUCGUGUUGGGGGUGUUAUUGUGCAGAGGAAGAGAGCGAAGGCGGACAAAAAAGAAAAACAACGACAGCCAAACAACAGCGACAACGUUGAAGAACGCAAAGAAAGACGCCCGCUCCUGCGCGACCUCCCUUUUUCGUUUACUCCGUGUCGCCUCCCCACCCCCGCAGUCCUGCCAUCGCGGACUCUAUCUCUCCGUGCAUUUCGUGGGCCCCUCCCUUCCCUCUUCCCAACACACCCACACCCUCCCCACAUCUUUGUUCUGUGUAGUUCACAGCACGUCCGUCUUCUCUCUUUUUAUUGUGCGAUUCGUUCUCGUUUUCUUUUUUUGUCUUUUGGAUAUUGUAAUCUUUUCACCGAAGAACCGUCCGCUUCUCGUCCUUCUACCUCCGUCUCCUCUCACCAGCAUCGCAGAGAGGAUCAGGAUUGUUUGCUUGGCUGCCCCUCUCGCCACGCGCCUGCUCUACGCCUCGUUUCUUUCUCUCUGAAGUCACGGCUCCGUGCCCUUUUCGCCUCGCUGGAUUCUCCUUUCCUUGCUUUUUUUUUGCUUGUUUCUCUUUUUUGUUUUCGUCAUCCCCCACCCCUUUCUCUGGAUUUCCUCCGUUCACGCAUUCUCGUAGGUGUCUUGCGUCCUUGUCUUUGCGUCUGAGUCCGCGUCGCGCCUCGCUAAGAAAUCCGCACAGCUCUCUGAUCUUUUCUGCCUUUGUCUCACUCUUCCGCCAUUUUCUUGUGUGCCUGUCGCUCUCUCUCUGUCAAUAUCUCUGAGUGUCCUCUUGCGUGCGUUUCUCUCGCUUCUUCCUUCCUCCCCCUCCCCAACUUUCUCUCUCUCUCGAUCUCUCCUCCCUCAUCGUCUUUUUGUGUGUGUCUCCGGGCCGUCAAUCGAUUGCUCGCCGCCUACCAAGGCUCCACCCUGCAGGCGGAAGCCAAAUAUUGACCGAGCCGUCGCACAGAAACGACAGGAGUACGCCGUGGCAAACACGCCUGCCCCUCCCUGUCGUCCCGCUUCCCGUUUUCCACAUCACACGAAACUCACCCUUGGAAGAGGACGAUAGAGCAGGAAACCGAGACGCAGCGCGCAUAUUUACAGGCAGGCGAGACGGCAGCUGAGCAGCAGUACGUGAAGCGAAGUCAAACGACAGUGGACACCCGCGUUCAGCACAUCCUACUCUGCCACCUGCACCCAUUCCCACCCAAACGCGUUCCAAAGGGGCAUCCCUACGCCAGGAAAGCGUCGCAGAGUCAAGCACUGAAAACGGAAGAGGGGCAUACGCAAAAGGCAGAGAACGAGGGAGGCGCAAACUACGCCACGGAAUUUUCCAACUCUUUUUUCUUUUUUGUUUUCUUGUUCGUGCGCGUGAGUUCUUCUUAUUCCCAAUCGUUGUGGAGUCGGCUCUCUGCCUCCCCUGCCCGUCCCCGUGUAUCUGCCGAGUGCCUUCGCUGCAGACUCUCACGUCUUCUUUUAUAUUAAAAUUUAUUUUUAAUUUCGUUCCACUAGGAUCGCCACCGUGGCUCCUUUCGUGUUUGACUUUCGUAUACCGUGUCUCUUUCAUCAUCGUUACGCAGCGCACGACUUUCUCCGUAGAGCAGCAGAGUCGUCCCGCUGCACCUCCCCCUCCUCCCCGCUUUCCCCCUCUCUCUCUCCCCUUCCAUCGCCGGGCACACGCCAAAAGACAAGCAAAACGUUCGAUCGGCCAUUACGCAUACAUAAACCCUCUGUGAGCGCGCGUACACAGACACGCACACACACAACAAGCAAAAAACGGGUCUGGCCAAAUUCCACCGUACGAGAGGGAAGCGAAGGAACGUAAAAGGCAGCCAAAAAAAACCCAACGAUACACCCACGGAACAAAGUCCUCAUUUUUUAGCAGGAAACAAAAAAAAAACGCUUUUGAAAAAGGGGAUUGGUGGACGCUUCUUCUUCUUUCCUUUUCUGUUGGGCGUUUUGCACCACGGCGAACCCUUUUCCUCCCCUCGCAUUUUUUCUGGCGUUUUUAUCUUGUUUUUUUUUCUUUUCUUAUCCGGAGAGUGACGUUUUCACGUUGAACUUCUCAUUCCCUCUUUCCUUUACUUAUUCUUUUUCGUGUGCUCGCGUGAAUGCGUCUCUCUCCUGCGUUUCGUUGUUGUUCUUUGACAGUUUUAGGCUCUGAUUGUCAUUGUUGCUCUCUUUUUUUUUUACAGCCUGCCAGAAGAUAGAAGGAUAACGAAAACCGUUUCACCCUUUCUUUCUCUGUCGAAACGUGACGCUUUCUGUGAUUCGAGCCCCUUUCCAUCCCCCUACUUCUGCUUUUCUUCGUAUCAGUUCCAGGCGCCGCUGCCGCGGCAGUAAAAAAAAAAGAGAGAGACGGGCUCUGUUGUUGUCUGGCUCUCGUUUCACUUGUUUGCGAUUUGGUGACUGUCCUUUCGGUGUUGCCGUUAGGCUUUCUGUCGCCACCACAUCCUUUAUGUGCCUCUCUCUUUUUCAUUCUUCAGCUUGACGACGGCCUGUUUCUUUUUUUUUUUGUAUGGCUCUGCAGAUAGCGGAUCGGGCCUUCCACAAGUGUUUUGUUAUUGCUCUGGAGGGAUCGCGACUCUGGUCUCUGUCGCGUGGUGUUCUCGUGCCUGUGGUCGUGCACACGCACUGGGACACCACCCCCUCUCUCCUCUCCCUCCAAGCACGCCCGAGUACGAGCACCACUCGCCUCCCCGUCCCGCUCACUUUGUGCACACGGCCUCUUCAGCUCCGCCCUUUCCUGCUCGAUUUGUGACGCCAAACCCGCGCUCGCUCCUCCGAAUCCCAUCACGGCGGUUGACUAUCCUGUCGCUGACAGCUGCCGUGCAUUGCUGAGCGUGCGCGCCUACGUUUCUUCGGCUGCCUGUGGCCCCCCCCCCACGCUCCACUCCCUCCCUUCCCGCUUGCCUGCUCGCGUAUUUCCGUCCGCACCUCAGUGCCCCGCGUUGUCUACUUCGUCGCCUUUGUUUCGAUCCAGUUUGGGGUCUAGCUCUCCUCUGUGUUGUGCUGCGUCUUCGUGUUUCAUAUUUUUUUUUCUCCCCUUCUUUUUUUUUCGUGCUUGACUUUACGGCUGUUUGGAUUGGCUAUAUUUUCCUCUAGUAGUGGUGGGGACAAAUUUUGCGUGCAAGCAAAACCCCGAACGAAAGCUUCAACACAGAACGAUACGAACACGGCUGAGCGGACAAUCCUGUCACUGUCUGCAGUUGUGCGUGUGGGAGGCGCAGCAAGCAAGCAAGAGAAGGGAAAUCAAUAUCCGCAAGUGUCUCGUCUUGUUGUGAGCAUCGCUUAACAUCAGCCUUUCGUUUUUCGUUGUGGGCUUUUGUGAAUAUUGAGAACCGCGCUCAUUCCCUGUCUCCUUACGUUCCUUUGUUGUUUUUGUUGUGUGUGUUACUCCUCUCCCUCCCUCGUUUUUCGUUCGCGUUCGCUCGGCUGACAUCGUCCGUCUUUGUGUCCUUCCCACUCUCUUGCUUCCUCGCUCCCUUUCCGCUCUGUCUGUUAUCUUUUUGUUGGUUUAUAUCGGUUGCUACUUUCAUUUUUCUUUUUUUUUCCUGUAAAAUUCGUUUGGCUGCUUGCGGUGUGCUUUCUUUUCGUUUUUUUUUCUGUGGGUGCUUCUGCGCUGUGCCUCUCGCGUGUUCGUCUCGACACUACCUGUACGCCUGCGCCCACUCUUUCUCGCCCUAGUUUUUUUUUUUUAUAUAUCUGUUGUUGUUGCGUAGGAUCGCUUACCUCUUUGUCUCCUCCCUUUUCUUACGCACGCACGCACGCACACACACACCACUCUCUAUCUCCGCCCUUUUCACCCCUAAAGUCUCUCCGUCUUGUUCCCGUGGGCUUCGACCAGCUCUUCUACAGUUUUCUUUUUCUUUUUUUUUCUCCAUCUUGGUGCAGCUCCUCCUCUGCCUUCUUUACUCCCCCACCUCAUCUCUUUUCCUCCAUCAUCUGUGCUGUGUAUAUAGUUCCUCAUAUAUAUACUUUUUCUUCCUCGUCGUAUUCGUUCGGCUUACUUUCUCUGAAGCUGUGCUUUCUUGUUUCCCAGCUCUGUUUCUCUGGCCUCGACUGUGGGUGUUUUCUUAUCUUGUCCCCCUUGGGUAAAACAGAGGGAGUCCUUCACCCUUUCCCCACCUCCGACCAGCCUCUGUGCCUCUCCAGCCCACCCUCUCUUCGUCUUCUGCAUACUACUCCGCCCUUCCUUUCAGUGGCUCGUGAGUGCGUCAGGAAGAGCCUUGUUGGCUCGGAGGAAGAAGGGCAACGACUGUAACCGGAAGCUAAGAGAAAAAAGAAACAACAGCAGCUCAUCUGGAGCGCUAAGCAAAUACACCCCCGCCUCCACCUCUGUCCCGAAGGAACACACCCAAUAAAAAGCCAGAGUGAAGGUGAGAAGGCUCUGUCUGUCUGUUUGUGCGAGUGUGUGCUGUUCUAUUCUCCGUGUAUCCUUGUUAUUGUUAUUCCUCGCCUCUUCCCCCCUCUGCUGCGCCACCACCAUCACCAUCACAUCUACCUCCACUCCCUCCUCCUCUGUUUCCCACCCCCAUUCCCUUUGUCCGUGUAACGCAGAAAAAGUUUGCUUUUUCUUUUUUUUUGUUUUGGUGUGUGUUGUGUUGUGCCCGCCCGUUCGAUGGACCCUCCCCCCGGUUUUACCUUUUCACUGUCUGCCUCUCUCUGUGUUUGCUUAUGUAUUUGGGUUUCGUUCCGUUGGUCGUUUCGCCGAAGAGCACUUGAAGCUAGCACUGCUUUUCCUCGUCUCCUCCUCUUCCUCUUCCCCCCUCCUCCCCCUUCCCCCUCUUCAGACGCACGCAGAAAUUUCUCUCAAGCGCCGCGGAGAACAGAGGAGAAAGUCAACAAAAACCCGCGCAACAUCAACGGAAGGCGAGCGUUGCGAAGGCUGACAUAUUCGCGCGGUCGCUUUCCUCUUCGGCCUUCUUUCGGUUUGCGCGUCCUUCAUGUUGUGGGUUGUGUCUUCUCUCUUCUCUCUCUUUCUUCGCUCCUUCUCUUCCUUCUCGUCUUAUUUUUCGCCACAUUGCGCCGUAUUUCGUCUUGCCCGUCUUCUUCUAGCGCUGCCUUGGUCGACCUCGGAUACACACACACACAUAUAUAUAUAUAUACAAACUGCAAAUAAGUUUCGUCGCCCCUCUUGUGGUUUUGCUUGUUGAGUAGGACGCCUCUCUGUGCGUGCGCGCCGCUCUCUCUUUUUACGCUUUUUUUUCCUCUGCGCUGCCAGGACAAGAAUCGCUACUCUUCGCUUCUGAUCUUCAGAACCUGCACUGCGUUUCACCACACGCGUAGGGCCAACCGGAGUUGUGCAACGGAACAACCCUCGCUUGUUCACUUUACGCUGGAAUCGAGGAAACUCAAGGAGGCAAGAGGGAGAGUGCGCACCGAAUCUGACGCUCUUGUCUGUUUCCUUUUUCUGAAGUUCGAUUAGCCAAACGCUCGAGACCCCUCUCCCACCGCUACCUGUACUUUUUUUCCUUCGAUUCUCCAGUGGUGCUGCCUGCUCCGCAGACUCGGUGUUUUCGCGGGCUUCUUUUUUUCCUGUUCUUGUUUUUACGCGUCCAGUCUUUGCACCUUCUUCGUGUUUCACUUGAACUUCUUUGAGUGUGUCUUCACGGACGCACAGGCGCAGAUACCUCGCCAGUGGAUUGGACAGUUGGACGAUACGGAAGCGACAGCGCAUCAGGCUCACCUCACAUUCACGACGGGCAACAACAGGCGAUACGUCACCCUUGCGUGCUCAGGCAACCAUUGUCCAUCAUCUCCCUCGCACUGACCAUGUACUGGCUUUCCAUGGCUUCUCCGGCUGCCUCGAACGGCGCUCCGUCCAUAGCGUCUGCCUCGGCGGCACAAACAGCAACACCACCUACAGCCGCUAGAGCUCCAGUUUUGGGUGCCACGCCUACGAUGAUGCAGCUUUCACUGGCGACUCCCGCCUCGCAGUCGCUCGAUACAAAUACGCUUCUGGGCACGCCUCCCCAGCAGCUGCUCAUCGCGCAAGGAGGUGAGGGUGCAGCGGCGGCAGCCUCUGUCAUGCCUUCCAUGAUGGACCCAAACCAAAUGUACAUCAUGGGUCGUCCUGGUGUAGCGAUGCCUCUUAACUACAUGAUGCAGACCUUUGCACCCGCGACCGGCGCCCCCGUCAUGAUGGCUUCUGGGGCCACGCUUGCGUACACCGCCUCUGGCGCGUCGAUGGGCAGUUCAACUUACUCAAUGCUGCCCGGCGGCGGUGGCCUUCUUAACGUGAGUGCGGCGCGCGUGGCGGUCUAUCAAACUGGGGGCAUAUCUGAGGUGUCGCAGCUUCCCGCCUUGGCCACUAUAAGCGAGGACACGCUUGGCUCGUUCUCCUUCGCUUCGACUACGUCGAAGAUGGCGCCUCAGUGCUUCCCUGGAGCACCGCCAUCCUUUAGCGCCGCGGGCAGCUUUAUUUCAACGGGUGCGGCUCUUGUACACGCGUCGGCAUCGGCACCGUCGGCGAACUUGCCUCCUCCUCCGCAGUACAGCAGCAUUGUGAAGCCACCAGCGAGCGGUGCGGCCAGGCCCAUCUUCGACUCUCACCCGACACCUGUGGUGCGCAAGGGCGACGCUGGCAGGGGCUACGAGGCCGGCGUGCACUACGAAGGUCGUGUGAAGCGCUUCAACCCGAUCCGCGGUUACGGCUUCGUGUCCGCCACGUACAAACUUAUCCCGCUACUGAAACCAAGGCAACUGAAGGAGACGAAGGCGCCAGGAUCCAUCAGCACGUCUGAGAAGCAGGGCCACACCCCAGACGCGAGACCUCGGGACAACACAGGCAGCGGCGCCAACAAGGAGGGUAAGGCGAGCGAGGACGCUCCUCUCCUUCUCGCAAGUGAUGUGCACGCCGCUGCGGCACUGAGUGCUGAAAUCAACGGGGACGACGUCGUUUACAUUAAGGGUGUUCCGCACGUCCGCCAACCCGUCACGAUGGGCGAUGUCUUUGUCCAUUACAACUGCCUGCAACGUUCGCCGGGCGAUGUGAACAUGGAGGCGAACGGGGGCUUUGUGAACCUGCCGGCCGGGUCGCGGGUACAGUUCAAGGUCGAGGUGUUUGUCCCGGCGGAGCUGAUGGAGAAGGCCUCGGACGACAAGGAGGCUGCAGCGAUGCUGAACAACUUGGGCGUACCUGUGGAAGAGAACCCAAACCUGCUGAGCAGGGCAAUCGCGACGAAGAAGGGGUGGGGCUAUCAGGCCAUUGACGUUCUUGUGUUGCCGCCGAAGGGCACCCUGCCGGCACAACUUGCCCCUCGGAACUCAGCAACAGCUACCGAGUACGCUGCUUCCGGAAGCGUUUCCAGCGUCUCUCUGAGCUCUUUUUUUGCCUUGUAAGCGCAUGUUGGCGCCGGGAGACGGCACCGCUGGUGAAAGGAAGUCGAGCAGCAAUACUAGCGAGGGUUCGAACGGAACCCUCCAAUGGUGCAUGAUUCUUUCCGCCGCUGAGGAUUCACAUUCCGGUGGAGAAGGCCGACGUUUCUGCGCCGCCGUGGCUCGAAGCGGCCACUGCCGGUAUGCAGUAUACGACAGUACUUCUCCCCGGCGCCACGGGCAUGGCAAGCUACACAGUGGGCAAUGACAUGUAAGCGAGCGCCAUCAUCGUGGUUGCGGUCUUGUAGUCGUUGACGCGAAUUCGAUUUCGAGCACAAGUAUAGCAGCAAAACAGCAACAACGCUCGACGAGCCCUUUGUAGCACCGCAUAUCUGCAGCAGAACCACUUUCGCGCUUGAUAUGCAGGGACGUGUGUGUGUGUGCGUUGGUGACGUCGUUUUCUUUUUUGUGAUUCAGUAGUACUCAUUACAUUUCUGUCCUCAUCUCCAUUAUGCGUUUGCAGCACCUUGUGCCGCGCGUAUAUAUAAGAUGACUACCUCCAUGUGGCAAAAACACAGCCACCACCGUUUGGGUGCAUGUGUGAUUGAAUUCAAAGCCCCUUUUUGCGUUUUCCUACCCCUGUUGCACACACACACACACACAAGCACACGCGUGCGCGAAAACGAUAAGAAAGAGUUCCCCUCCUCAUCCUCCACUCCCUAUCUGCGUGUUACUGAAGAUGAAAAAAAAAACGAGAAACAAAUUCAGUUGCAGUAUCGUGCUUUUCGUGGCUUUAAGGCUGAGCUGCAGGAAAAUUUUCACCUUUUUUUGCCGGCACUUCUCUCCUGUCUACGUUUCUCUCUCUCUUGUACGAGCUGUAUGUACGCAUGUAUGCCCGCGUGUGUGUGUGAUGCAUGUAUGCAUGCACUCCGCCUUGUUUUCACCGCCUUUUCGUGUGCUGCGUCGUUUUCUUUUUUUUUUUGGUUGUCUUUGCUGUUUCUGUUGCAAAUUGCAUGUAGCCUUUCUUCUGCUUCCCUUCCACUUCCCGCCUCGCGGCUCUGUGCCGACACACCCUCACUCAUAUGAAACGCGCGUGCUUCCGCCUUUCUGAUUCUCUUCUCUUUCCUUUUUCUUGGCUUGUGUAUUAGGUGCGUGAGCAACAGAGGAGGCAAUGUCGGGGAUGAAGACAAACGGACGAAGUUGGGGCAGCAGGAACGACGUGGUGACACCGGAGUCCUCUGUUCUCUCCCGCCUCUCUCGGACCAUUUGCCAUUUCCAGAUCGCUCAGCUUCCCUCUCUCUCCUGCCGGGCAGCUUCCUUGUACGGUAGAGGUGAGAGUAGGUGCCGCCGUCUUCACUGCCGUCGUCACUUGAUGUAGAAACCCUUGUGAUUUGCCGUUGUCUUCUUUGUUUCUUGGUUCGGCAUCUGAAUGUUUUCACAACAUCCCGCAUAUGAGUGUCCUCCGCGUCGUUGUUGUUGCUGUUUUUGUUUUAUUCCCCCACCCCUCCCUUGUUUUCUGACGUCUUGCUGACGUCCUUUGCCGCAUAAAGAAUAACUUCUCUCUCCAUCCCUCUAUGUCGCGCACAUAUGCGUGUGUGCGUAUUUUCUUUUCUCUUGGCUCUGUAGCCGUUCCUCGGGCGCUUCUGUUUUCUUCACUUAUCUUAGGGUUGCGCUCUUUACCCCCCCCCCACCCGACCCACCCACCGUGUCUCCCACUGACACGUCAUGCUGUUGCUCUUUUUUUCUCGUAUUUUUUUGGUAUGUUUCUUUGGCUUACGGCUCUUAUUCUGCACGUAUGCUGAUGUACAUGUCUUCCUUCGAAUUUGUGUAUGUGGCCCACCCACCCCCGACCCCUUCUCUCUCGCCCUCUAUCUCUUCUCGAAUUUGGGUUUCGCUCGAUGUUUUCGUUUAUGUUUUCAAUUUUUUUUUCGAGGCGUUUUACUUCUUUCUCGUUUUUCUUCCCACACCUCCUUUUUUUUUAUCAUCUCGGGUUGCUUUCCCUUCCUUCCAUCCCCUCUCUCUCUCCAUUUUUUUUUUCGUGCUUGGCUCCAGACCUCUCAAGAAUGUGCGACACGCUUCUAACGAGUACAUAAUUUUUUCCCGUUUCGUUACAUCUGUUUUGUGUUUGUGUUUCUUCUCAGGGCGGCUCUUCUUCCUUCCCUCCCUCCACACACACACACACUCCCUCUCGCGUUGUUGUUUGCUCACUGUUGUCGAUGUUUUUCCCCCUUUCUUCCUUGUCACCACAACGCGUGCUCUUCACUCUCUCUCUUAUACCCCGUCUUCCAUUUUGUUUCUGGCCUUCCCUUCCUUCUGUUCUGCUCGCACUCGUUUGCCGACGAUGUGUACCUCCAGCGCGCGCGCUCCAACUGCCCACAGACAUGCUGAUGUGCAUGCGCGUGCUGGUUUCUCUCUUCCUCUUUCGUUCUUUGUGCGGCGCAGUGUCAGCGUAUAUGUACGUGUAGGCGGGCUUGUAGACCCCUUCCUCAUUUUCCAGCGCAUGCACCGUGUCUUGUGCGCAAACUUUUCGGAUGCGCGUGCACGUGCUUCUAUACGUGUCUCUCUCUUCUUCUCCAUCGCCUCGCGUUUUCCAUCGUGCUCUCUAAGAGUUGUCGCUUUCUGUCCUGAGUGCACUCUCCUCUGGUGGCUGUAUUCUUCAUUUUAGUACUCCACCCCUCUUCCUCAGGUCUUUUCCUUCUGUCUUGCGAGCAUGCAGGCGUGCGUGCGUGUGUGUGUGUGUGCAUGCGCAUGCAUUUUUCAGGCUCUUUUAUAUUUGUACGAUGCUUUCUUCGUUAGCAUUACGUGAAUACGUGUUUGGUCGCCAUCUCGGACGAUUUUUUUCUCUCUUUUACUUUCUUUUACCCUUCUUGUGGGACCCAGUCAGUCAUACACUGGGCGCCCACCCAUCCGCUCUCGUUCUCGCGCGCGCUUCAGCUUUUCGUUGUAUUAUCGUUGCUAUGUUAUUUAUAUGUUUUCUUUCUCCUCUUUUUUUUUGUUCUGUGUCCAUGCUUAUCUCCUGCGCUGCGGCUCUUCAGGCCAAACCUGCGCUGGACUUUGCUGAUUUUUCUUGUUUCGGAUGGCGCGUUUUUUUUUUCCAUCGUAUACUGAGAACGAAAAUGCACCAUCACGGCAUCUGCGUGGCUUCUGAGCCUCUCCGCCCCCGCCCCACCACCCUCCUCACUCCUCGUGCAUGCACAAGCUACUCUCUGGACUUUCUUCGAGCUCUUUAUUGCUUGCUUCCUCCCCUCGCGUUUUCUCUCUUUCUUUCUGCUGUGCAGCGGGUAGCUGUAAUUUGUGUGGCCUCGUCACGAAAAGGAGAGGACGAAUGUGGUGAGCGGUACCAGCCAUCGAAAAAAAAAUAAAGGAAAAAAGAGGUAGCGCGGCCAACCCGCACACGUCCUUCCAGUCCCUCUCUCGCUCUCCCUGUUUGCGUUGCUGUUGUUGUUGUCCGUGUUGCCCUUACCUCUCCCCAUGCUUUUUUUUUGUUUUCGGCGGUGUACAUCUGGGUAUAGGAAUGCGCGCUUUUUGUAUGCGUGAUUCAUGAUGGGCGCGUGCCCUUUGCACCUGCUCGUGCCCAGCGCGGAUCGAUCGCUCUCGCUCCCUCUCUGAUUUCCUCUGUGUGCCGCCCCUCUGUUAUGUCUCGUUUCUUCUUUUCACUGCCAUGAUCGCAAUGGGGCUGUAAAUUGUCCGGCACCACACAACCGUGUACGAUGUCGCUGUGGAAGGAAAGAAACGCAAAAGGGAAAAUAAUAAAAAAACAAAAGAUGCGGAGAGACCGGCAUCCAUACUUCACUGGAUCGAAGCGCGACACGAGGCACAUGGAAAGAGAGGAGCGGCUCCUGCAUCGGAGAGCGUUGCGGCAAGGGAUAGGGCACGCACGAACGCACGCACUCGUCCCAGCGCUCUAUCUCAAGCAUCGCAGCCAACGAGAAGGAAAGGCGCCACCACCGCAAACAGAAAAGACAACCGUAUCGCAGAUGAUUGUGUAAUUUUUUUUUUGGGGGGGGGGAGGAGGAGGAGCGCGAACGCGGACACGCCCAUUUUUUUUUUCGCCUUUCAGCCACAAGCGACUCUUCGUCUUUGAGCACUUUUCGAACCCUCCAUCGUGUUCGACGAGCAUCUUUUAGUUGCACGGGAUCCCGCCAUCCUCACCUCUCCACUUGUCCCCUUUAUCUUCGUUGCCCAUGAGUCUGACAUGAAUUUGCCGUUUAAAAGCCUCUCACUUCCUAUUUUGUUUAUAUCUUGCACCAGUUCUAUUUUUUUUUUGUGUCCCUCCAUGAUCGCGCUUGAUGUUUGAGCCCUCGCUGUGCAUUGCCGUGCCUGUCUACACCUCUUUGUGUUUGCGGGCGCUCGUGCACUUGCAUUCUGUGUGGUGAGUCUUUUUCACUGUUUUCUUAUUACCACUCAAACUCUUGGCUCUCCCUCUUGUGCCGCCGUGGUUUCUGUCUAUCGCUGGUGACGAGAAUAUGUGCUAACUUCUUUGAUUUGUUUUUCCUUUUAUAUGCGCUGUCUUCACACUGACGACAGAGGAGGAGGGGUGGGUGCACGCCGCACCUCGUAGUGCGCGGUAUCUCAGGGUUCAGUGCACACCCCACUCUGUGUGUGGGAGGAGGCCAAGCAGCGCCCUCUCCAUUCCCCUGCCAAAUGCCGAGCCACCUCUGGUGGUGGCAGGGCCAGGUGCCUGUGACGUGGCGAAUUCAGAGCGAUACAUCGCCACUGAUGCCGACAAUCGGAUCCUGGAUGGCGUCAGAGAGACCUGCGAUAGCGAGCACGCUCGUAAUGUUGACAUGAUGGGCAAUGCGUUGACUUGACUCGAGCGUACCCCACCCCCGGCCUUCGCUGCCUACUGCUGGGGAGCCUGAGCCACCCCCGAGGGACGCACCACGUGGCGACUGGCAUCGUGGGAGUUGCUGUGAGAUGACCUGCGAAGUGAGGGGUGGGCAGAGCAUAUGAGGCAGAGGUCGUGCACCGAUCACGGAGCUGGCACAUUGCCGUAGCAUGCGCCUGCGACCUCUAUGCACCACGCGAUUG